rnacentral:rRNA from 1 species
GACGAACGCUGGCGGUGUGCUUAACACAUGCAAGUGGAGCGACGAACACGGGUUUGCCCUGGGGUAGAGCCGCGGACGGGUGAGUAACACGUGGGUAACGUACCCCGACUACCGGGACAACCAGCGGCAACUCGGGGUAAUUCCGGCCGUGCUCUUCUCCGAGCCGGAGGGGUGGAAAAGGAAAAUAGGCGCACGCAUCUGGGGAUGGCCGGGGCCGAUUUGCUUGUUGGUGGGGUAACGGCACACCAAGACCGAGAUGGGUAGCUGGUCUGAGAGGGUGAUCGGCCACACUGGGACUGAGACACGGCCCAGACUCCUACGGGAGGCAGCAGUGGGGAAUCUUCCGCAAUGCGCGACAGCGUGACGGAGCAACACCGCGUGAGUGAAGAAGGCUUUCGGGUUGUAAACCUCUUUCGUUAGGGACGAAGGCCUGCCGGUGAAUAUCCGUGCCGGUUGACGGUACCUCCACAGGAAGCCCCGGCUAACUACGUG